GCGGGCGAGGCAUUGUAUAGUUGUAUUAUUUUGUAGUUGUAUUAUUUAUAAGAAAUAAUACAACUAUACAAUGCCUCGCCCCC